rnacentral:rRNA from 1 species
UACGGAGGAUGCAAGCGUUAUCCGGAAUUAUUGGGCGUAAAGCGUCCGUAGAUGGUUUUGCCAGUCGGCUGUCAAAGCGCAGGGCUUAACCCUGUAAAGGCAGUGGAAACUACAAGACUAGAGUGCAGUAGGGGCAGAGGGAAUUCCCAGUGUAGCGGUGAAAUGCGUAGAUAUCAAGAGGAACACCUGAGGUGAAGACGGGUUGCUGGGCUGACACUGACGCUGAGGCGCGAAAGCUAGGGUAGCAAACGGG